AUUGAACGCUGGCGGCAUGCCUUACACAUGCAAGUCGAACGGUAACAGGUUAAGCUGACGAGUGGCGAACGGGUGAGUAAUGUAUCGGAACGUGCCCAGUCGUGGGGGAUAACUGCUCGAAAGAGCAGCUAAUACCGCAUACGACCUGAGGGUGAAAGCGGGGGAUCGCAAGACCUCGCGCGAUUGGAGCGGCCGAUAUCAGAUUAGGUAGUUGAUGGGGUAAAGGCCUACCAAGCCGACGAUCUGUAGCUGGUCUGAGAGGACGACCAGCCACACUGGGACUGAGACACGGCCCAGACUCCUACGGGAGGCAGCAGUGGGGAAUUUUGGACAAUGGACGCAAGUCUGAUCCAGCCAUGCCGCGUGCGGGAAGAAGGCCUUCGGGUUGUAAACCGCUUUUGUCAGGGAAGAAACGCUCUGGGUUAAUACCUCGGGGUAAUGACGGUACCUGAAGAAUAAGCACCGGCUAACUACGUGCCAGCCGCCGCAUAACAC
rnacentral:rRNA from 1 species